ensembl:lncRNA
CAGGUUUGAAACAACAUAAGGGUGAAUAAAUAAUGAAAGAAUAUUAUUUAUUUAUUUUUGCAAGAACAAUCCCUUUAACACAUUUUGGUAACACCAACCUGCUGUAAUCUUUGCCUUUGUGUUGUAAUUUAUACACCUUUCAAGUCAUCCAAAUGCAUCAAAAAUGGUUUCUAUUCUAGUUCUAUACUUUGGUUAUUUUAUAUGCUUUUUUUUUUUUUUUUAAUGUUGUGAAUGUCGAGGCUCCCCCAAUCAGAUUAGCUUUCACAGACAUCAAGCAUACAUGUAUUUCUUGUAAUAAUAAUCUUUACCAACAGUGACAUGGGCUCCCUCAAUGCUCAUCUACCUCAAAGCCAUAUAUGAAACUAAGAUGCUUUAUGCAUUCUAUAAUCCUGUACCUUAAAAGGUCCACUGACAAUUUUUUUUUUUCUUUUUUUUCAGAGGGAUUGCAUAUGCUCUCCCCCUCUCCAUAGAUGGGCCUUGGUAUUUGUAUGGCCGAUGCGACCUUUCUCUCUGGCCUUUUAGAUUAGGUGCACAACAUGGAAAAUUGUGCUUCUGCUGCAGUCCAUAAAUCAUACUGGCCAUCUUUUCCUUUCCCUUUAAAGAGGUCCACUGAACCCUGCAGCAAAGAUUGCGAGCCGAGGCACACAAAAGGGAGACGGCAGCGAGAGAUGGAGCGCUCACUCAGCUCCACUUCACAGAACUCCAAAAGAGUGGAAAAAGAAGGGAGGAGAGAAGGGCUGGAAGGGCUCCAGGUUGCCUCAAGACAAAUAAAAUCCAGCCCCAACCUCAUGGUGGCACUGCCAAACCUCAUUUUCCUCCACUGGAUACAAUAUGUGCUAGGCAGUGUGGGGGAAGGGAGGGACAAUACACUAUCACUUUUAUUCUUUCGAAAAUCCAAUAGCGCAAAGCACAAUUGUCUCAUUUUACUCCCAAUUAAAUAGAGGAUAAACUCAGCAGCAAUCAAGAUGGUUGCAUUAUGGCACAUCCCAGCUGUGGUCUUGGAAUGACUGGACAGUGGACCUCCACUGAUCACACCUAAUCAAACAAACAUACAUACACAAAUUCAUUUACUCCCAUAAAGACGUAGCCACAUAUAUCACAUAAAAAGCUACUUGAAGAUUGAGCUCCAUGGGUGUUUUUGUUCCUCUAACCCC